AUGGCUGCGACGGUUGUAGAUCUGUCUCUGCUUCAUCUUUGCAGCAAUUCUAAAUCUGCCUCCGCUUCAUCUUCACGACGAUACAUAUUGGAGCAAAGUCUCUCAGUGGAUAAUUUCUUUAUUUUUGUUCUAAUAUUCAAAUACUUCAAAGUUCCAACAUUGUAUCAGGCAUACACUAUUGUUAAAUUUGCAGAUGCAUGUCUUCCGACAUUGAAAGGAGAGGUCGGAAUCAUUCAUGUGCAUAUGUUGAUUCACAGUUAUAGGUGA